rnacentral:rRNA from 1 species
UACGUAGGGGGCAAGCGUUGUCCGGAAUCAUUGGGCGUAAAGCGCGUGUAGGCGGCUCGAUAAGUCUGCUGUGAAAGUCCAAGGCUCAACCUUGGGAUGCCGGUGGAUACUGUCGAGCUCGAGUCCGGAAGAGGAGUGUGGAAUUCCUGGUGUAGCGGUGAAAUGCGCAGAUAUCAGGAGGAACACCAAUUGCGAAGGCAGCUCGCUGGGACGUUACUGACGCUGAGACGCGAAAGCGUGGGGAGCAAACAGG